GGGCCAGUAGUUCAAAUGGUAGAGCGCUCGCUUAGCAUGCGAGAGGUACUGGGAUCGUUACCCAGCUGAUACA
rnacentral:tRNA from 1 species